rnacentral:rRNA from 1 species
GGGGAUAACUACUGGAAACGGUAGCUAAUACCGCAUAACGUCGCAAGACCAAAGAGGGGGACCUUCGGGCCUCUUGCCAUCGGAUGUGCCCAGAUGGGAUUAGCUUGUUGGUGGGGUAACGGCUCACCAAGGCGACGAUCCCUAGCUGGUCUGAGAGGAUGACCAGCCACACUGGAACUGAGACACGGUCCAGACUCCUACGGGAGGCAGCAGUGGGGAAUAUUGCACAAUGGGCGCAAGCCUGAUGCAGCCAUGCCGCGUGUAUGAAGAAGGCCUUCGGGUUGUAAAGUACUUUCAGCGGGGAGGAAGGGAGUAAAGUUAAUACCUUUGCUCAUUGACGUUACCCGCAGAAGAAGCACCGGCUAACUCCGUGCCAGCAGCCGCGGUAAUACGGAGGGUGCAAGCGUUAAUCGGAAUUACUGGGCGUAAAGCGCACGCAGGCGGUUUGUUAAGUCAGAUGUGAAAUCCCCGGGCUCAACCUGGGAACUGCAUCUGAUACUGGCAAGCUUGAGUCUCGUAGAGGGGGGUAGAAUUCCAGGUGUAGCGGUGAAAUGCGCAGAGAUCUGGAGGAAUACCGGUGGCGAAGGCAGCCCCCUGGACGAAGACUGACGCUCAGGUGCGAAAGCGUGGGGAGCAAACAGGAUUAGAUACCCU